rnacentral:rRNA from 1 species
GAUGAACGCUGGCGGCGUGCCUAAUACAUGCAAGUCGAGCGAACGGACGAGAAGCUUGCUUCUCUGAUGUUAGCGGCGGACGGGUGAGUAACACGUGGAUAACCUACCUAUAAGACUGGUAUAACUUCGGGAAACCGGAGCUAAUACCGGAUAAUAUUUUGAACCGCAUGGUUCAAAAGUGAAAGACGGUCUUGCUGUCACUUAUAGAUGGAUCCGCGCUGCAUUAGCUGGUUGGUAAGGUAACGGCUUACCAAGGCAACGAUGCAUAGCCGACCUGAGAGGGUGAUCGGCCACACUGGAACUGAGACGCGGUCCAGACGCCUACGGGAGGCAGCAGUAGGGAAUCUUACGCAAUGGGCGAAAGCCUGACGGAGCAACGCCGCGUGAGUGAUGAAGGUCUUCGGAUCGUAAAACUCUGUUAUUAGGGAAGAACAUAUGUGUAAGUAACUGUGCACAUCUUGACGGUACCUAAUCAGAAAGCCACGGCUAACUACGUG